GUCCCUUGUUGGACACUGAGAAUGACUUCUAUUUCUUUGGCCAUCAAAGGGCUCUGUGCACCACACUGUUGAGAAGAAACUUGCACAACCUUAUUUUCCUCGGAAUUGAAGAGUCAGAUGGAGAAGAUGCCAAGGCUUCUGCUGUUGCGGCCCUCAUACUGGAAGGGAUGGUGGAACUACAAGCAAAAGGCAGAUCUUUGCAAACAGGGAGUUCUACUUUCAUUCAAAGAGAGCAAGGAGAACUGCUGCCCAGUGGGAACAUUCCUCUGACAGUGAGCUGUCCUGAACUCCUGACUCCUGCAGGAAAUGAGAGCUGGGCUUCUGGACUGGAUCCAAGUGUUGGGUUCUGAAUGUCGAGAAUUUCCCUCCUGAGUCUCCAAACCAAAAGCAGGCUGGUGCUACCCUGCUCACCUUAAAAAGCAAGGAAAAAACAUGUCUGUCUCUCCCUUAAACCUUUCCAUCUAUCCCAAACCAAGAUCAGAACUUCCUGCCACUAUCAUGAAACACUGUCAUAAAUUCUCUUUUUUUUCUUCCUCUCUUCUUCAUUUAACUUGGGUUUAGUUCAGUGCAAAGGUAUUGAAAUUGCUAUAUUCUCUGGAAGAAAGGAUAAAAAUGGAUGGAUCGGUGGCCUUCUUGCAGCCAAACUAAGUCAGAAAUGGUACAUUUCAUUAUGACUGGAUUAAUAUACACAGUAAAGAGCUUUAAAUAUUGUAGCAAUUCAUCAAACUCCAUCACUUUAGGACAAUUGAAAAUACUGUG
rnacentral:lncRNA from 1 species